GACGAACGCUGGCGGCGUGCUUAACACAUGCAAGUCGAACGAAGUGGCGAACGGGUGAGUAACGCGUAAUCAACCUGCCCUUCAGAGGGUGACCACAGUUGGAAACGCCUGCUCAUACCGCAUACUGACGGCGGGGAUUGCGUCGGAUUAGCUAGUUGGAGGGGUAACGGCCCACCAAGGCGAUGAUCAGUAGCCGGGCUGAGAGGAGGAAAGGCCACAUUGGGACUGAGACACGGCCCAGACGCCUACGGGAGGCAGCAGUGGGGAAUCUGCCGCAAUGGACGAAAGUCUGAAGAGGCAACGCCGCGUGAGUGAGGACGGCCUUCGGGUUGUAAAGCUCUGUUAAUCGGGACGCGGUACCGGAAUAGAAAGCCACGGCUAACUACGUGCCAGCAGCCGCGGUAAUAC
rnacentral:rRNA from 1 species